ensembl:lncRNA
GAGCCGAGGAGCUUUGGGGCUGAGGGAGUGUUGUAGCGAGCGGGCGCCGUCAUGGCCGGCGGGAUCGUUAGGUCGCCGGUCGCCUGGCGCGGUGGCGCCGCUCUCUUGGGAAAAGUCGCCCGCCAGGAGUUCUCUGCCAACGUUAUCCGCGAGGAGGAGCCGUUGUGGACGAGGAGUGCCUUGCGUUCCAUGAUAUUUCACCGCAAGCUCCUACGCUUUUUUCCUAGCCGUUCCUGAGAAGGCCGUUGUGAGGUUAUCCGGAGCAGAAGAUUGUGGCGCACCUCUUCUUGGCCGUUUGAUGAUUGUUGGCGAGAAGUGUGCUGCUAACCUGGGCCUGACCAAUGGAUUCCGGAUGGCUGUGAGAUACCCACCCUCAGUCCCUUCAGACUACCGCGCACGUCUCUGUAUUCUGGAUGGCCGUCAGUUGGGCCAGCCUCCUGGCUAAGAUGUUUGCACCGCAGGAGUUGCUGCACGCGUACGGAUCGCCACCGAAUGGAUUUCACGUGUUGCCCGUCAGCCUAGCCACCGUUGACAUAUAAUUGUUUUUGGUGGGUGUCUGUGGAGGGCAAUGAAAAGCUUUGAGCAGCAUUUGCACAAUAAAGAUGGAGCAUGGGGAUAUCAUCUCUGUCUCUCUUGUCUUACUGAUGGAAAUGAUUCUGCAAGUUAAAACGGUGGGUCUCCGUCUCCCAAAGACAAUAUAGGAUGUGCUGUGUGUUUGAGGCCUUGCCGUCUUCCCCCAGCUUCCAAAUAAAAGGGCGUGGGUUUUAUCGCGUACUAGCAGCAUCGACAAGCAGCAGGCGUAGAAUUAGAGAAGAAUAACGUAGGAAGAAUGCUUCCAGCUGUCGUCUGAUGUAUGGCCCCGUCCCGAGGCCGAACAAACUCCACCCGCAUGAUUUCUGACCGGUGCACGUCAGCCUGUUUUUAAGCAAUCUCGGAGUUUUGACACUGCUUUCUUUUCAGUCGCGGAUUUUGCGACGUAGAGAAAUAAUUUCUCCCUCGGAAACUUUCCCAAAUGGAAAAGACUUUGUGAUACUUGAGUCGGCGAUUGUUGCGCUUCUGCUGUCUUUGAGACUCAGCUGCCCUUCUCCAUUUCUCUGUUUUUAAUAUGAACAAAACAUUAAAAAAAAAAAAAAAAAAAAAAAAAGGAGUAUUGUUCCGUAACCAGAAGGAGGAGUAGCUACAGGCACCGUAAGGCUUUUACAUGUAAUCACCUCUCGCGCUUUGUUAGGCCUCUGGCUUUGCUUGAGUCUUUGUUGAAUUGCGAUUGCAUUCAAGGCUUACUGGAGUGGGGGAGUUUCAAAAUGCUAAUAAAUAUUUGCAUUAGAAAUUAAAGACUUGAAACUUGCUAAAUGAAAUUAUUGUGCGGCCGUUCCUCAAAGAAUCUCGAUUUGUCAGCAGUAGAUCCGCUUGCGGGACUGACGAUCGCAGCUGUGAAUGACUCUGAAUUAAACUGUUUGAAGAAGCGGAAUAAGACAACUUGUUACGUUUUUCUGAAUAUCCAACCUGAAGCUCCCCCCGGCGCAGCGCAAGGCCGUUACCUCUUGUCCCGUCGCUAGUUACCUGGGAGAAGCGGCCAACCCCCACCACGCUACAAGCACCUUUUGGGUAGUUGUAAAGAGGCGAUAAGGUCUCUCUCCCCUGAGCCUCCCCUCCUCCGGACGAAACAAUCCCAGUUCUCUCAGCCGCUACCCAUAGGUCUUGUGCUCCAGUCCCUUCACCAGCUUUGUUGCCCUCCUCUGGCCACGCUCCAGAGCCUCAACGUCUUUCUUGUAGUGAGGAGCCCAAAGCUGCACGCAGUACUCGAGGAGCGGCCUCACCAGCGCCGAGUACAGAGGGAUGAUCACCUCCCUCGUCCUGCUGACUACAUGAUUUCUGAUCCAAGCCAGGAUGCCGUUGGCCUUCUUGGCCCCCUGGGCACGCUCCUGGCUCAUGUUCAGGCGGCUGUUGACUAAUGCCUCCAGAUCCGUUUCCUCCGCGCAGCUUUCCAGCCUCUCUGCCCCGAGCCUGUUGCGUUGCAUGGGGUUGUUGUGAACAAAGUGCAGGACCCGGCGUUUGGUCUCGUAGAUGCUCCUGCAAUUGGCCUCGGCCCAGCGAUCCAGCCUAUCCGGAUCCCUGUGUAGGGCCUUCCUACCCUCAGGCAGAUCAAGCCUUCCUCCCAACAUGGUGUCGCCUGCAAACUUACUGAGGGUGCGCUCAAUCCCCUCGUCCAGAUCAUCAACUGAAAUAGAAAUCAGGACCGGACCAAACGCUGACUCCCUGGGGAACGCCGCUAGCAUACACCGCCAGCUGGAUUGAACUCCAUUCAGCACCACUCUCUGGGCCUGGCCGUCCAGCCAGGUUCUGACCCGGCAGAGUACACCUGCCCAAGCCAUGGGCUGCCAUCUUCUCUGGGAGAAUACCGUGGGAGGCAGAGUCAAAGGCUUCACUGAAGUCUAGGUAGACUACAUCCACAGCCUUUGCCUCAUCCACUAGUCGGGUCACCUGGUCAUGGAAGGAGAUCGGGUCGGUCAAGCAGGACCUGUCUUUAAGGAACCCGCGCUGGCUAGGCCCGGUCCCCUGGUUGUCCAGCACACGCCCUGUGAUCUCACUCUGGGUGAUCUCCUCCAUGACCUUCCCCGAUACUGAGGUCAGGCUGACAGGCCUGUAGUUCCCCAGAUCCUCCAUCCGACCCUUCUUGGAGGUGGGCGUCUGUGUGGCUCCAUGUAUCGGUAGCAAGACAGUUCGUUAUAUACGUAUACCCGAUGUGAGAUUAAAACUCAGAAAGGUGAC